UGAAAUAUUCUACACAUCUUUAAUUAAUACCCCCAGCUCCCUUCUCUCUUUCUCCCUUGUAUUUUCCCCCAAAAUAAACCCUCUCCUCUGUAUGUCAAAAUUCUUUCUAAAGCAUGUAAAAUUCCUAACAAUUGACUCUUCCAAAUUUCUCUCCGAAAGCUGAAGACUCACAAUGACAUCUAUUUGAAGUGGGUGAAGACUCACAAACCGAUAAUGACGAGAGCUGUCAAUCUAAACAGGCUUGUUUCUUUUCUUCUUCUUUUUUCUUUUAACGAUAAGAAAUUUCUUAUUUUGGUGAAUAUUAAUUGUAUAAAAUGAUAAUAUUUUGUACCAAUUCUACUGAAUAUUGAUCGUUGUAGUGUAAGAGCAUAUAAUGGGAGUGUUGGGCUUGAUAUGCGGAUGGUGGCUACGGUUAGGUUUAAAUUUGGGGCUUGGAGUGUAAUGAUUUUGAGGGAUUCAGGCCCCCUGUAUUAGGUGCUCUCCUUUCUUCUUAUCCAAUUCAUAAGUUCCCUUUUAAAAUGUAUUCAUAUGUUCUUUUUCUAUUUAGUUUAUAAGUGAUGAUGCCUUUUAUUAGAUAAAGAGAUCUAAUGUGAUUUGAGUUUGUGGUGUUUGGAGAAUUUGAGUUAGUGGGUGUUUUGUGAUCUGAAAUAAACGAUCCGCGUCAAUGAAUUCUUGCGUGUUUCUUAUUCUGGGUAUCCGUCAUUUCAGGUGAAUUUAAUUAUCUUGGAGGGUCUACCCAUUACAAUUUGUAAUGGAAAUUGAAUCUUUGUGGAAGUCACAUAAUCUGGAUUGUAAUUUCUUGUUCUUACUUGCUCCUUUGAUGGAAAGCUUCAAUUUUUAGGGCGUUUUAAGGUUCUUAUGCAAAUUCAAUUCAAUUUUGUUGGAGGUCGAGUGACAUUCUUUUUAGUUGUUUUUUUUUCGUGAGAGGAAAGCAAUGUAGGUAACUGAUAAAGAAAUGGUGGCUAGGGUUAGGUUUCGUACUUUCGUUGCAUUCAAAGUUGUUUUUCUCUUCUGAUAUAUCCUUCUGAAUGCAAGUGCGAGCUUUUUUGUUCUUUGGAUUGUGAGCGAGCAUCCUCAAAUGCAUGUAGCUACUAAUUAAUGCCUAGACUCCAUCUGCUUAGGAGAGGAAGAAAUAAAAAGAGAGUUAUGCACUUAUGCCAAAAUCUGUACACGGUUAUGUUCUACAAUUUUUUUUAUUUCCUAUCUUAAUGGUGUUUUGCCUUUGAGUUUGCAAAGUAAGCUACUUCACGUAUUUUGAGCACUCUCUACGAUGUCUGUUGUCUAGAGAUUUCAAAGAGAGAAGUGUUGCGACGAAAGUGCUGAAGUAAAGAGGUUUCCCAACAAGGAUUUGGAAGCUUCAGUUUACAAGUGAAGAUGAAAUUUUGAAGAUUUAGAACAGGCUGACAAUUUUUUUUGUUCGACAAAACAUUAUAGUAUUUACUAAGGAUGUUUGCCUUUGCGGGAUAAUGGGUUAUGUGAAUAGUAUUGUGAACUCUGUUUAUAUGCUUUUGAGUAACUAUAUUAGAAGUUGCAUAAUAUCUUAGAAAAGCUUGAAUUAUUUAGCUGCCACAUUUUUUGCCAUAAUCAUUUUUAAUUCUACUUCUUAUGUGGAAAUUGUAAACAGAUUGUUAGAGACCAGUAAUUGCUUUGCUCUUUUUGGAUCAUGUUUUUGGUCGCAAAAGCCUUUUAAGGACCAGUUAAACUUGUCCCUGAGUGAUUUACAAACCAAUAAAUGAUUUGUGUUUAGGACAAGAAAUAUGGUCCUUAAAAGUAUACUCGGGACCAGAAUAUUUCUGGUCAUAAUAGAUCUUUAAGGACCAGCAAUUAAAUCCCGUCGCUAUAGGCCUUUAGCGGCACAGCCUAUAGCGACGGCUGACGACCGGAUUUUUCCCGUCGUAAUUGAUCUUUAGGGACCAGAAUAAGACUUUUAGGGACUAGUUUUCUCGUCCCUAAUAGCCAAUUUUCUUGUAGUGUUUAUUGAUUUAUGAUGUAUGCAUGAUAGUCAGCCUAUGAUAUCUACUGGUACAUACUGUUUGUACUAAUACUACCUUGGUGCAUUCUUUUGAGUGCAGAUUGUGAUACAGACACUGCUACUCGACCUCAAAUCUAGCUUUGAGGCUGUUUUCUUACAGAUUUAGGAUGGCGAGAACACGCGCGGCAGUAGCCAGAGGUAGAGGUGAAGUAGAGGAGCUGACAGAGGGGUGGCACCGGUUGCUGGCGGAGUCCCAGCCGUUAAUCCCGUGCCUCCAAUGGCUUCUAAUGAGGCCGCGGGCGAUGCAGCCGCACCAGCUCAACCAGUGGUAGUGCCAGUUCCGCCAGCGGCUGCUGCUCUCCAGGUAUACUAGAUGUGAUGGCACAGGUGCUGAACUGGUUACAUAGAUUGGCACAGACCGGGGCUAUAACGGCGGUUCCAGUAGGUA